UUUUAUCAGAGAGUUUGAUCCUGGCUCAGGAUGAACGCUGGCGGCGUGCUUAACACAUGCAAGUCGAACGGGAAACCUUUUAUUGAAGCUUCGGCAGAUUUAGCUGGUUUCUAGUGGCGGACGGGUGAGUAACGCGUGGGUAACCUGCCUUAUACAGGGGGAUAACAGUCAGAAAUGGCUGCUAAUACCGCAUAAGCGCACAGAGCUGCAUGGCUCAGUGUGAAAAACUCCGGUGGUAUAAGAUGGACCCGCGUUGGAUUAGCUGGUUGGUGGGGUAACGGCCCACCAAG
rnacentral:rRNA from 1 species